rnacentral:rRNA from 1 species
GACGAACGCUGGCGGCGUGCUUAACACAUGCAAGUCGAACGGAAAGGCCCUGCUUUUGUGGGGUGCUCGAGUGGCGAACGGGUGAGUAACACGUGAGUAACCUGCCCUUGACUUUGGGAUAACUUCAGGAAACUGGGGCUAAUACCGGAUAGGAGCUCCUGCUGCAUGGUGGGGGUUGGAAAGUUUCGGCGGUUGGGGAUGGACUCGCGGCUUAUCAGCUUGUUGGUGGGGUAGUGGCUUACCAAGGCUUUGACGGGUAGCCGGCCUGAGAGGGUGACCGGCCACAUUGGGACUGAGAUACGGCCCAGACUCCUACGGGAGGCAGCAGUGGGGAAUAUUGCACAAUGGGCGGAAGCCUGAUGCAGCAACGCCGCGUGCGGGAUGACGGCCUUCGGGUUGUAAACCGCUUUCGCCUGUGACGAAGCGUGAGUGACGGUAAUGGGUAAAGAAGCACCGGCUAACUACGUGCCAGCAGCCGCGGUGAUACGUAGGGUGCGAGCGUUGUCCGGAUUUAUUGGGCGUAAAGGGCUCGUAGGUGGUUGAUCGCGUCGGAAGUGUAAUCUUGGGGCUUAACCCUGAGCGUGCUUUCGAUACGGGUUGACUUGAGGAAGGUAGGGGAGAAUGGAAUUCCUGGUGGAGCGGUGGAAUGCGCAGAUAUCAGGAGGAACACCAGUGGCGAAGGCGGUUCUCUGGGCCUUUCCUGACGCUGAGGAGCGAAAGCGUGGGGAGCGAACAGGCUUAGGUACCCUGGUAGUCCACGCUGUAAACGGUGGGUACUAGGUGUGGGGUCCAUUCCACGGGUUCCGUGCCGUAGCUAACGCUUUAAGUACCCCGCCUGGGGAGUACGGCCGCAAGGCUAAAACUCAAAGGAAUUGACGGGGCCCCGCACAAGCGGCGGAGCAUGCGGAUUAAUUCGAUGCAACGCGUAGAACCUUACCUGGGUUUGACAUGGAUCGGGAGUGCUCAGAGAUGGGUGUGCCUCUUUUGGGGUCGGUUCACAGGUGGUGCAUGCCUGUCGUCAGCUCGUGUCGUGAGAUGUUGGGUUAAGUCCCGCAACGAGCGCAACCCUUGUUCACUGUUGCCAGCACGUUAUGGUGGGGACUCAGUGGAGACCGCCGGGGUCAACUCGGAGGAAGGUGGGGAUGACGUCAAGUCCUCAUGCCCCUUAUGUCCAGGGCUUCACGCAUGCUACAAUGGCUGGUACAGAGAGUGGCGAGCCUGUGAGGGUGAGCGAAUCUCGGAAAGCCGGUCUCGGUUCGGAUUGGGGUCUGCAACUCGACCUCAUGAAGUCGGAGUCGCUAGUAAUCGCAGAUCAGCAACGCUGCGGUGAAUACGUUCCCGGGGCU